CCCAUUUUUUCUCUUUCUUCCGUCGCUCUCUCUCCCUCCCUUUUUGUUAAUGGGCUGCCAAAAGGUGGGGUUCGCGGCCGAUUCGGCCCCUACCUGGAUCCGCCACUAUUGUACAUAAUUAUUGUUCAUACACGUACAUGUAUAUAGGUCAGUUGGCGUAUAGUUGAGCCAAACUAAAAACUAUAAGGGGUCAAAGACGGAGACUGCAAAAUUUGGUGGAAGAUCGCCCUCAUUUGUGAAAAUGUUUUAGUUGUAGGAUGGUACCCUACCCUGCUCAGGUACAAAUUUGGGAGGGGGGGGGGAGGGGUACAGUUGUGUUCCUCAGGCAAUUCCAUUAUGCGAAUUCGAGCUUAGCUCACGAAUCUAUAAACUGAAAAUUUGUCAUAACACACUGAUCCAUUUACUUUGAGAAGACAGACAACAGACAUUGCCACCUGCCUGAGAUAUCGUCAGCAUAUCUUUUUCAUUGUGAUUAGUCCUUGAUUUUGAUCAAUAAAAACUUUAAUUAAAAUAAAACAUCCCGAAUGGCUAACUAGCGAUCGGUGCAUGCAUUAGUGGCUUACACUUAAUCUGAAACGAAACUAGUUGGCAUGAACACAAUAACUACUGUUAAAUAUCUAGGCAAUCAUAUUUCAUAACAUCUCUAUGUUUUAUACGUUUUGUAUUGUAUGUCCUGCUUCGGCAUUUAUGAGCCAUGAUCUGGACUUUCUUAUUAUAAUAUGUCUGUGAUUGUGCAAUUCUUUUAUGUUUAUACUAUGUUCCUUUAUUGAAGAUUUACAAUAAAUUGAUACAAAAUCCACACAAAA